rnacentral:rRNA from 1 species
UUCUAUGGAGAGUUUGAUCCUGGCUCAGGACGAACGCUGGCGGCGUGCUUAACACAUGCAAGUCGAACGAUGAAGCCCAGCUUGCUGGGUGGAUUAGUG